UAAAUAUUUAAAUUUUAAUAUAAAGCUAAAAUUACACAGACCGUUGAUGAGGUAUUUUACUUUUACAAUCUCAACCGUUAAUUAGCAAUCCUAAACUUACACUCUCUCCCCUUCAGAAACGUAAACAGAGCAAAUAAACAAAGAACCCAGAAAAUGCUAAUUAACUUGCAGUGAAUCUCUUCAUCCCCUUCGUCCCCUGAUAAUAACAUCCAUAACAGUAGAAAAACAAUUAACUUAGCACUCUCUCUUCAUCGAUCUAAUCUUCCUUUGUCUCUAACAUUUCUCUUUAUCUUCUUCUCAUUCGUCUCCAACAUCCCUAACAGAUUCAAUCUUUCUUCGUAAACCACCAAAAACACAAACCCAUGGCAACAUCCCACUAUACCCAUCAUUAUCACCAUCGAACAUCCUGAUUUACCCCCACUCUUUGUAUAUGGGUUGGGUUUUGCAUUCUGUUCUUCAAUAAUUUAGAUUUCAUCUUGCUCGCCCAGAACUCAAGAACACAGGCUUACAGGCAGUACAUAUCCAAAGAA